rnacentral:rRNA from 1 species
GAUCCUGGCUCAGGAUGAACGCUGGCGGCGUGCCUAAUACAUGCAAGUAGAACGCUGAAGCUUGGUGCUUGCACCGAGCGGAUGAGUUGCGAACGGGUGAGUAACGCGUAGGUAACCUGCCUCUUAGCGGGGGAUAACUAUUGGAAACGAUAGCUAAUACCGCAUAAAAGUCGAUAUCGCAUGCUAUUGAUUUGAAAGGUGCAAUUGCAUCACUAAGAGAUGG